CUAGGUCAUAACCUAAUGCCUAUUCAUAUUUCAGGACGUGGCAGAACCUGGAACACCUGUGGAGAUUCUCUUUGUUUCUGGUGUCUUGCUGACCAUUGGGUCAAAACCAACUGUGCAGUUCUUCACUAAGCCUAAGGAUCACAAGUGUGACUCAUCGGAACCUGAUUUAUGUGAUUCGGGAUGCAAUGGUGUGCAGAUGACGCGUCCUUCAGUCAUCUCCAAGGCUGGUGGCCUUGAAAGAGAGAAGGAUUACCGUUACACUGGGAGUGAUGGUAAAUGCAAGUUUGACAAGUCUAAGAUUGUUGCUUCAAUUCAGAACUUCAGUGUUGUGUCUGUGGAUGAGGGUCAAAAUGUUGCUAACCUCAUAUAACAUGGGCCACUGGCAAGUAAGUAAAAGAUAAAGAAUCUGUUGAAAUACA